CUCCCUCUCUGCGAUGUGACUCUGUGGAGUCAUCUCCAGGAUAUACUGUAUAGCGAAAAAAAGCCCAGUGCAGAGAAAUGUGUAGAGCUGCUGCUGUCUAAUACAGUAGCCACUAGACACACAUGGCUAUUUAAACUAGUUAUAGUAAUGAAAUUAAAAAUUCAGUCCCUUAGUCACAAUAGCCAACAUUUUAGGUGCUCAACACCCACAGGUAACCUGUGGCUACCAUGCUGAACACACAGAUACAGGGCAUUUUCAUUUCUGCAGAAAUUUCUAUUGCAUAACACUGAUAUAGAAUAUGCCACCUUUUAUUUACGAACAGGUUGAGAAAACUAAUAUACGUAUUAUAAUUGAUGAUAUGUUUUAAAUUGGAAGGUUAAAAUGUAAACUGAUAAAAAAAAAUGGUGACCUAUAAGGUGACAGAGGAGCAGCUUGGGAUGGAAGAUGAUACAUAGUCUCAUUAAACGCAUAAGCAGAAUUACUGACUUCAGGUAACAACAAGAAACAAUGACCAACUCUAGCCAGAUUCAAUUAAACACACUUUCCUCUAAAAUGAACCAUCCAUCCUUGGAGAAAUGGCCAAUUCUUAUCUGGCUAAGCAUAGACUGGAGCAGAUAAGUCUGAACCAAACUCAUACCAGAACACAUGUCAAAGACACAACAUCCAACUAAAGUCUGAAGUCAACCCAGACUGUCACGCAGACUAAAAAUAGAACAAUUUGAACAUUAAAAAUAUUAAUGACCUGGAGUUCCCGUCAUGGCUCAGUGGUUAAUGAAUCCGACUAGGAACCCUGAGGUUCAAUCCCUGGCCUCACUCAGUGGGUUAAGGAUCUGGCGUUGCCGUGAGCUGUGGUGUAGGCUGGCAGCUAUAGCUCUGAUUCGACGCCUAGCCUGGGUGCAGACCUAAAAAGCCAAAAAAAAAAAAAAAAAUUAAUGACUGGAAUGGACUUAAACGUCAAACGUCAAACAUAUGAACACCUAGAGUCUGAUGACACUCUAAAAGAAAAAGAAAAAAAACAAAACCAACGCAAUGUUCACCUUCAGAGGGUCCCAGGGAAACAACUCACUAUUUUGAAAAGUUGAAAUAGUGCAAAUGAAUUAAGCAUUAAUCCUCCUCUUUGGUGUCAUCAACCAGACCUCAGUGUAACCUCACAGUUGAGAAGGGGAAGUUUGUUUUAUAGAAGAAUGCCAGCUAAUAAAUGCAAAAGAGGAGUUACCUGGUAGCCAAGUGGGUUUUCAUUGCUGUGGCAUGGGUUUGAUCUCUGGUCCAGGAACCUCCACAUGCUAUAGGCACGGCCAAAAAAAAAAAAAAAAAAAAAAAAAAAAAAAAAAAAAAACCACCCUUUAUCAUUAAUGAAAUAUAGAUCUAGGCCAUAGCCUUUAAGAGGCUACAUAAGCCAUGAGUUAAAAGGCAGAUGGGACACUUCAUAAUGGAUGGAUAGGUGGACCCACUGAUCAGCCGCAAGGACAUAGGAGGAGAGACAACCAGACAUGACCAGGCUCCUGAUGAAGGGCUAUAGGAAGCACAACAACACAUCUCAGGUACUCUUUCCACAAAUCUGAAUCCCAGCAAGCCUCCAUAUGUACAGUAAUUACCAGUUUAUUUUAUUUUACUUAUUUUUUGCUUUUUAGGGCUGUACCCACGGCAUAUGGAGGUUCCCAGGCUAGGGGGUCAAAUCAGAGCUACACCUGCCGGCCCAUGCCACAGCCAGAGCAACGCAGGAUUCGAGCUGCGUCUGUGACCUACACCAUAGCUCACAGCAACACUGGCUCCUUAACCCACCAAGCAAGGCUAGGGAUCGAACCUGAAACCUCAUGGUUACUAGUUGGAGUCGUUUCCACUGCACCACAAUGGGAAUUCCAUAGUAAUUACCAGUUUAAAGGAACUGGCCAGGGGAACAGAACAAACAGAACAAUAAAGAUUCACUCAGCAUAUUCCAAAAUGCAUACUUCACUGGGAAAAGAUCUAGUUUGUUAAGUAAAUCAAUGGAGAUUUUAAAAAGAGGACAGGAGUUCCCUGGUGGCUCAAGGAGUUAAGCAUUUGACAUUGUCACUGCUGUGGCUUGAGUCACCACUGUGUCACAGUUUCAAUCCUUGGUCCUCAAACAUCUGCAUGCCAUAGGUGCAGCCAAAAAAAAAAAAAAAAGGAAAAAAAAAAAGAGGAAGACAUCUGGAUGAAAAGUGACUAAGAUUUCAGAGAAAUUAAAUUUAUAACCACCAUGACAUACCACUACAUGCCCAUAAGAACAACAAAUAUGAAAAAGCUGGGAACUAUCAAAUUGUCUCACGCAUAAUAACCAUGAUGAUUAUGACUUUUUACAUUUUUAUAAUUAUUAUCUCCACAUUUUCUGUUAAAGAAAUAUGGUCUGUAUAUGCACAAAUGCCUCCUGAAGCAUAGUUUCCACCUAACAUUACCCAACAUGGGCUGACCUAGUUCAACAAAUGCCUUUCUUCUUCCUAAGUGCACCAGUUAGCAGUUAGGGCUCUGGAGACAGACCAGGUCUAACACUAGUUCUCUACUUACAAAUGGUAUGAAUUUGCACACUUUGACUUCACCGUAUAGUCACUCGAUUGCCUCAUCUGCAAAACCGCAAUUAUACAGUACUGACCAGAGAAGUUCACAGCAAAAAUAUUGCCUUGUGUUUUGGUUUCUACACGGAUAAAGUUAGGAAUCACAUAAUGUUUAGAAUCCUACUGCAGUGGAUAGCAGACUCUCUCUGUACCCUGGGAAAAUGAAAGAACCUCUCUGUUCUUCAGUUUCCUCUUCUGUAAGGUAAGGAAAAUAAUUGUCCUUACUUCAUGGGUUGUUGUUUUGAGCAUUGAGUUACUGCAUGAAAACACAAUACCACACAAUACCAGUUCAACAAAUGCUGGAUUUUUCAUAAGUACAUGGAAGUUCAGAUUAUUAGAGUAGUGGCUAGGGUCACUGAAGAGGUGCAGGUUCAAUCCCCAUGCUGUUGCAGUGGGUUCAAGGAUCCAGCAUUGCCACAGCUGUAGUGUAGGUCGCAGCUGAGGCUCAGAUUCAGUCCCUAGCGGGGAAUUUCCAUAUGCUACAGGUGCGGCCAAAAAAAAAAAAAAAAAAGAAAAAAAAAG
rnacentral:lncRNA from 1 species